rnacentral:lncRNA from 1 species
CCACCUCCCGGGCCAAGUGAUUCUCCUGCCUCAGCCUCCCGAGUAGCUGGGAUUACAGGCACGCACCACCAAGACUUUGCCCCUUUCUAUGUCUGCAUUUCUUGGCCCGGAUGACAUCACCUGAUGGGGGAAGAAUUAGAUUUUUUUUUUUAAAGAAUUGAUCAUUUUCUUUUUACCUCUAUUUUUAUCUCCUAUAAUAUAGUGAAUAUGCAAGGUAUGAUUAAUAUCAUUGCUUUAAGAGAAGAAAAAAAAUAGACAAACUCUUGGUAUAUACCAGGCUAUCUUGGUUUGCUGCAGCUGAUCAAAUGAAACAGUUUGUUAUGGUUUUACGAAUGAGAAUAUCACAGACUCUCUUCUAAUUUAAAGCCCCUGUGUGAAAAUGUUCAGUCAGGUCGCAGCAGUAUAUUUCAAGAGGAUGAAAUAUUCAGCCAAGGUCUCUCUGCAGUCCAGGCAGACAGCUGGAAAGGUGCGCUCUGAGUUCUGAUUAAACUGUGUCCCCAUACCAGGGGCUUCCUGUUUCUUGCAUCCUUUACACUGAGAGGGGACAAUAGUUCUUUCUAAGCUUAGCUGAGGCUGAUUGGCCAUCUUCGCGGUAGAGCUUUUAAUUACGUGUGGCAGCCCUAGAAGGGGUGAUGAGCAACAGAGCAAUCAACACCUGAGCAGCACAUGUUGGCGCUGAUUAGCGCGGCUGGUUAGAGCCAGGACUAAUGAGGCUGAGGUCACGGACUCGGCCCCGUAGCCCAGGUAGCCCGGCCACCCUCCAAACGGCCGCUCCGCCUGGUCAGCUGCCUCACAGAUGCUCGCUGCUGUCUGGAAAGGGGCCAGGGAGGCUCGAGCCAGCAGCCAGCACGGGCUCUUUGUGUUUAAAACCAAACAAAAUAAAAACAGGUUCUCUAAUGUACCACCCCCUGUGAUCCUCUCUAGGAAUAUCAGACUUAAUGAUUUAAAUUUAAUUUGUUAGCCAUUUGGUGGUUAAUUUUUUUUAUUAAAAAAACUAAUGAUUUAUUAGCAUUCUUAUAAUAAGCAACAUUUAAUAUCUAUUCAUGAGAGUUCAAAUGGAUCAACUAUUUAAUUUUGUAAUAAAAUGAAUCAGAAAAGUAUUACUUAGAAGAAACUCCAUACUGUGAGCGUGUUCUCUGCAUGUUUUCUGACCUUGAUUCUCCUGUAUUGUUAGAGUCAGGAAUGGAGGGAAAUGAAGCUGAUUUCAGCCUUUCCCCCCGCAGCUCUGCCUUCCAAGAGGGAGAGGCUGAGUGGAGGGCACAGUGGACUUUUCAUUUAAUUUCCCAAAUUUCACAGACUCAUAACGACUCUACGUUCCUCUCCUUUCUACUGUUUCCCUGGUGCCGUUGACAGAAACAGGCUGGCCCCAGGUCAUACCCAGGAGGCAGAGGAAGGCGCACACUGGCAUAAGAUAAGUGCCUGACAAAAAUACACAUAUAAAUACAUCCAGCCCUUUGCUACCGACUCAGAACAUCAGUGCUCAUGGGCACAUUUUGAUUAAGCAGCUACUACUGUCUUUAAAGGGGUGGGAGCAGGGAGGAGAGGGUUCUGAAAGGUUCUUACGAGAAUCACAGGAAAAAGAGGUGAGGAGCAGCGUGGCCACACAUGCCUCCCCCCCCCACCCACGAAAAAGUGGGGCUCUUUACCAAACAGCAGCAGCAGAUUGAUGAGAAGCGUCAUGGCCGAGCAUCUCUGAGUCACGGUGAGCACGCACAGAAGAGACCAAGGUGGAGUGUGCCCCUCCUGCCCCAAAGCACCUUUGGCUAAACAUUGUCUGUUGGGUCGUGAGUAGGGAGGAGCAAAGUGAACAGUCACUAAAUCCAUAGCAGGGCUAAGUCCAAGCAGCACAUGCUGAGGCCUGGGCGGGGGCUCCAGGCUUGCUGGGUUUGCAGCCCCAGCUGCGGGUCUCAAAGCCAGCACAGAUCACAAGAGCAAGGCCAGCAGCUCCUCCAGGGAAGAGCAAAACGCUGCCUUGGAAACACAUUUUAAUUGAUGAAAGGAUUCUUUGUUUUAGCCGCUGAUGGCAGUGCAAGUGAACUUCAGGGCACUCGAGGUGCUUUGGCCCAAUUAGGAAGUCAGCCGGAGCCUCCCGUCACAGGCAGCCAUGGUACCUGCUGUCUGAUGUUUUGCCAACUUGCUUUAGUGCAAUCACCCCGCUGCACCGGGAUGUUUCAAUUUAGACUUCUGCUACGUCAGGACUCUGAAGACGCUCAUUGUCUGGGAGUGGGCUUCCUGCCUGUUACCUCUUUCCUCCUGCCUCUCCUCUCUUGGACACAGCUGUGACAUUGCUCACUGGCCAAGUGAGUUGUUACUGUCCCUCGGCUGCGGGUUGGCAGGUUUCCACUCUCGGAGGAGCAGCAGCAGGGUUUGCAGGCGAAGAUCCUGGACUCUGUCAAUGCAAGCCCGGCACCUUGGCAUUGGGAGUGCUGGAGUUCUUUGUGAGUCAUCUGUGUGGCCGGCAUGGCACAGUCGUUGCUGGAGAAUAUUAGAGUUUAGAAUCGUAUCUCCAGCAUUGCUUUGUAGAUAAGGACAUGCAGUUAGGACUUAGGCAGGCUUGCACAGCUCUAGAGGUAGAACGGGGCUGAGAACUCAGGUUCCCCAGCUUGGAGGCUGGUGCCCAUACCAAGACACUGGGCCAAGUGACAUGGGGUCUUGGGACAGCUCAUGAAGCUGGGUGCUAAGGCAGGCAAAUGGGAGCCGUAGUCUGUGGCCCUCCACCACAGCUGGCUUUCCAGCCUCUCUGCUCCUGCCUUCCGAUUCCUGAUGCCCUAGCCUUGCCGGCCUGUUUUCCUUCUCGAGCGUUCCUUUCCAGAUCGGCAGCUGCACUUGCUAUUUCUUCUUCCCAGACGCUCCACACUCAUGCUCAGAGCAGCAUUAUUCACAGCAGCCAGGAGGGGGACGUCGCCCAGGUGUUCCUCGGUGGAUGAAUGGAUAAAGAAAAUGUAAACACACAGUGGAAUCUUACUCAGCCUUGAAAAGGAAGGAAAGUCCAUCCAACACAUGCUACUGCAUGGACGAACUUUGGACAGUGAGCUAAGUGAAAGGAGACAGUCACAAAAGGACAAAUACCAGAUGAUCCCACCUGCGCGAGAUGAUAUCACGCCACCCCCUUCCCAGUGGCUAAAAGGCAAUUUAAUAUGCAGAAGCUCUGCUAGAACAGCAUUAGGUUAUGACAUGAGGAAAUGGAAAAAAAACAUCUAAGCCCAAACUCUGCCCUUCAGCCGUCCUCCUGAGACAGCGUGCUGCUGUCAGCCAAGGACAGAGUGGGCACGCUGGGGUUCUUGGGCUCAGCAAACAACAGGAAAACUGAGGCAACUUCAGCUGCUUACAAGAGAGAGACACAAGAUUCACAUGAGUUCCUAAGUUCAAGUUGGCUGAGGGGCUCAAGGGACUCACCGCGUCCCUCCCUCACUCCGGCAGAUGCUGGGACGCUUCCAGACAGCCCCGGACAUAGGGGGAGAGGGAGAGGCAUGGAAACCCUCUUACCUUAGCCCCUCAGAAAGGUGCCUCCACUCAUUGGUGACUCCCUCACUUAGCCAUUAAAUGUCACUACAGCCCGUUCGCACAGGGGAGAGAAUCUACAUCUAGCAGUAAAAAAAGGUGAUGAAAUGAAAGAAGUUGUGAAAUGACAUUUUUUUCCAGCAGGUUUGUCAUAUCUCCUGCAUGGAGGAAAAUUGCUUUCUGUAAAUCUUGGUCCAACAGAACAAAACACCUAUUUCUUUCCAGUUGGGAGGACAGCCAUUCUCAUCGGUAUAAUGAACGUAUUGUAAGCUGUGACUUUUACAAAGUCUGAGGGAAACCAAUCUGCAAUCUUGACAGAUACGAUCUUUCCAGAUGCACUGUUCGUUUACGGCGGCAAGAGAGCUCAAUUAAUUUCUGAGGGAGGACGGCAGGAUGCGACCCCUUGUGCGUGGCCUAGGAGGAACUGUCCCUGUGUGAAUUUAUGUUCUGGUAAUUUAAAAAGAUUUAUAUUAAGCUUUUCUUUCAUUUUGAGAGUAGAUUAAAAUUCUAAUGGAAACCAUUUGUAUGCAUUUGUUGAAUUGAAGAGUAUUUAUGGCUGUGUAAAAAAAAUGCUGCAAAAUUCUGCCGAUAAUAAAGUCAGUGAAGCAAGAAUAAGUGUAAAAACAGGAAGGAAAUACGCGAUAGAAACCAUACUGUAUUAUACAAGUAUAAUGAGGGAGGCAAGCCGAGCAGAACGGGGCAGGGAUUAGGCCCCCGGAUGGGAUAGUUUUUCUUAUUUAGUGUAAGGCUUUUGUAGCCCUUUUAUGACUUAAAACAAAAUUUAAAUUUUGAAACAGGCCAGGUCAGUCUGCACAGACCCCAUGGCCACAUCACUGUGUCACAUCAUUCUUGAACUCCUGCCGGUGUCUAGGACAAACAGGCAGGAAAGAAAAUCCAAGCGGCGUCUCAGAGAAAAGAUGCUGAUGGCAGGAAAAGAAGACCCAUGAAACAGGAGGCGGGGGUCAGCGAGCAAGGUGAAAAUCAGAGCCCCGGAGUGCAGUGCAGGUGGAAGAGAGGUAGCAAAACCAGGGAAGUCGCCGUGCUCGGGACAGUCCAGUGUGUCCCUGGCAUCCCCAGUCAUUGCCGUGGCCACCUGAUCAGAACCUGUACAGAAGCUGCCCCAUCUCCUCCACGGUGAGGGCCAAGUUGCAUGUGCCACAGCCCUGUCGGUGACCUUUCUGCGGGCUGGGGAAGCAGAGACAACGGCCUGACAAUCUGCAGGCACAGCCAUCCAAGGGGACAGGGUCCAUGCAACAGCCACCAGAGAAAGCUCCUCACUGCCACCUUUGCAGAGGGAGAAAAGCAGAAAGCAUCGUGGAGGCCCUUUAUCAUGUUGGAAGGCCAGAGACAUUUGGCAUUCCGUCAAGGUCCAUCUUAGAGUUGAGAGAGAGUUUCACCAGGAAACUCACAUUCUCUCAGAACUAGCAGCCGUGAUCGCAUGUCGAAGUCAGGCAACGCCAAGCGUGAUGGUUAACAGCGCUAAGACAGGAGAAAAUGGAAAUUCCCUGAGAGUCCACUGCUCUGCUCCUGCGGCGGUGCUUUUCCCCCUCGUUGUAAGCAUGCUCUUUACCAGAGCUGCACGGAUGUCAUAAACUGCCUCACGAUGCACUAGAGCAGAAUCGUGCGUUAGCAAAUUUCACAGAUGCAAAGUGGGAUUUCUGUCAAUGGAAGCCUGCAUGGAAAAUACGGAACAGCUUAAGAAAGUACUGUCUUCUCUCAAAAUUCCACAGGAGCCUGAAAUGCAGGGGUUCCGGCCUAGGCGUUUUUUGAGGCAAAUAACGUCGCCACACGGCCGAGAUACAGGCCCCUUUUUGCCCCAUGAGACUUACUGGCCUCAGAGUCCGGCCGCUUCUGUUUUGUUUCUUCAUGUAUCCUUGGCUUCUAGCGCAGUUCCUGGUACACAGCAGGCGCUCAAUACAUAUUUGCUGAGCUAAGCAAAUAUGUCCUAGGCCCUGUGGAAGAUACGACAUGAGGAAGACCAGGUCCCUGCCAAAAAGGCACCGAGGGCCCAGGCUGGGGAGGGUAGUGCUGACAUCGAGUAGGCCUUCAGCUCUGACCCCAGCUUCAUUUUAAGUGACUAGGAACAAAUUCUCAAAACUUCUUUUCUAUCAACUCUUCUUCACCCCCAAUAUCACAGCACAACUGUCUGUCAUUGAUGGAGUUCCUGCAAUAAGACAAGCGCUAGAAGUUUACCAUAUUUGUAUCCUUACUGGAUUCCCAAAUUAAUCCUAGUAAGCAAGUGACAUGAUUGUUUUUAGUAGAGACAGGGUUUCACUUUGUUGGCCAGGCUAGUCUUGAACUCCUGACCUCAAGUGAUCCACCCACCUCAGCCUCCCAAAGUGCUGGGAUUAGGAAAAUGAAUACUUUUGCAAGCACAAUGACAGGAGUGUCAAAGGAGGUAGGCUCCACACUCUGAUGUCUCUUUAUCAGUGAGGCCUUUUCUGACUCCCUCACAUGAAGAGCAAACUCACUUCCCUUGUGCCAAAGCACUCAACAUAUAUGACAUCCCACACGGGGUAGGCUGAAUCGUGGCCCUUAAAGUAUGUCCAUGUUCCAAUCCUUAGAACAUGUGAAUGUAUUACCUUAUGUGGCAAAAUGGACUUUGCAGACAUGAUUAAGUUAAGGAUCUUGAGAUUUCAGGAAAAUUAUCUUGGAUCAUUCAGGUAGGCCUGACAUAAUCACAAGAGCCCUUACAAGAGAGAGGCAGGAGGCCAGAGGCAGAGAGCUACACUGCGGAGCUGCUUUGCAGAUGGAGGAAGGGGCCACCGAGACCUGAGAAAGUCAAGGAGACAGAUUCUCCCCUGGAGCCUCCAGAGGGAACCAGCCCUGCUCACACCGUCAUUUCAGCCCUGCAAGACUUGUUUGGGCUUCUGACGUCAAGAACUGGGACAGAAUGAAUUUGUGAUGUUUUAGGCCACUAGAUCUGUGGUAAUGUGUUAUAGCAGAAAUAGGAAACUAACACAACUCAUCUCUACUUGUGUAUAUGUUUGUUAUCCGUCUUCCUCUGCUGGGACAUGAAAUCCGCAACAAGUGGAGGCAAAGCCAGGGACUUUGUCUAUUAUGUUGACUGGCAUCCUUAGUGCUCAGAACAGAGCUCAGAAUAAUAAAUAUUUGUUGAAUGAGCAAAGACGGAGGGGGCAGUCGCAGGAAGGGGGCCUACCGCGUGGCUAAGGGCCCUGAGGUAUGAAAGAUCUGAGAUGCUGGUGGACGUGGCUGCUUCCCGAGCUGAACUGGGGAAGUGGUGGGGAGGUGGGAGAUGUCGGGGAGCUGAUGCUGGGGCAGUUUAUACUUUAUUCUGCAAAUGAAGAAUUAUUGAUGGGUUUCAUGUAGAGUCAUGAUCAUAUUUCUUGAUUGCGUUUUUUUUUUGUUUUGUUUUGUUUUGUUUUUUUGAGACAGAGUCUCACUCUGUCGCCGAGGCUGGAGUGCAGUGGUGCGAUCUUGGCUCACUGCAACCUCCGCCUCCUGGAUUCAAGCUUCCCGAGUAGCUGGGAUUACAGGUGCAUGCCACCAUGCCCGGCUAAUUUUUGUAUUUUUAGUAGAGACGGAGUUUCACCAUGUUAGUCAGGCUGGUCUCAAACUCCUGACCUCGUGAUCCACCCACCUCAACCUCCCAAAGUGCUGGGAUUACAAGCGUGAGCCACUGCGCCUGGCCUCCUGAUUGCUUUUUAAGUAAUUUUUUAAAAAUAAUUUUUCUCUUUAUUAUUAAAUGUUAGAAAUAUAUGGAAACGUGGGCAAAAAGUAAAAAUCACUCAAAUCUCAUUCCUAGAGUUAGUCACUAUUAAUAUUUUGGUGUAUGUGUAUUUCUUCCUUCAACAUUCAGAUUAUAUACUUUUUUGAAACUGGCUUUUUUCUCUUAAUGUGAAUUUCUCCAUGUCAUUAAAUAUUCUCCUAAAAA